UACGAAGGGGGCUAGCGUUGUUCGGAAUUACUGGGCGUAAAGCGCGCGUAGGCGGUGAUCUUUGUCAGAGGUGAAAGCCUGGGGCUCAACUCCAGAAUUGCCUUUGAAACGGGAUUGCUUGAGUCCGAGAGAGGAUGGCGGAAUUCCUAGUGUAGAGGUGAAAUUCGUAGAUAUUAGGAAGAACACCGGUGGCGAAGGCGGCUCACUGGACCACAACUGACGCUGAGGCGCGAAAGCUAGGGGAGCAAACAGG
rnacentral:rRNA from 1 species